AUUCCUUUUUGGUAUUUAAAAACCUAGUGAAUACUCAAAUAGUGAAGGUUAACAUGGUCCCUGGACAAGGAUGACAUGCAAAUUGAAACGUUCCAUAUUUUU
rfam:Mustela putorius furo unplaced genomic scaffold scaffold00044, whole genome shotgun sequence.